rnacentral:tRNA from 1 species
UCUGGUGGCUCAGACGGUCAAGAGCCUGCCUGCAAUGCAGGAGAUCAGGGUUCAAUCCCUGCAUCGGGA